rnacentral:rRNA from 1 species
UGGGGAAUUUUGGACAAUGGGGGCAACCCUGAUCCAGCAAUGCCGCGUGUGUGAAGAAGGCCUUCGGGUUGUAAAGCACUUUUGUCCGGGAAGAAAUCGCACCUGAUAAUACCGGGUGUGGAUGACGGUACCGGAAGAAUAAGGACCGGCUAACUACGUGCCAGCAGCCGCGGUAAUACGUAGGGUCCAAGCGUUAAUCGGAAUUACUGGGCGUAAAGCGUGCGCAGGCGGUUGUGCAAGACCGAUGUGAAAUCCCCGGGCUUAUCCUGGGAAUUGCAUUGGUGACUGCACGGCUAGAGUGUGUCAGAGGGGGGUAGAAUUCCACGUGUAGCAGUGAAAUGCGUAGAGAUGUGGAGGAAUACCGAUGGCGAAGGCAGCCCCCUGGGAUAACACUGACGCUCAUGCACGAAAGCGUGGGGAGCAAACAGG